GGUGAUCCUCUUCCCAUCUUUACUUCUGAGAGCUGCUGCCACUCCAAGAUGCUCUUUUUAUACCCAGUCAUGUUAAUGACCUAUUGCCAAUUGACCUAAUGAGUUGCAAUUUGGUCCUCCAGCUGUUCCUUUUUUGUACCUGUGCUGACUCUGUCAGUUACUGGGUGGGGUUAGGUUUCCCUAGUGGUAGUUUUAGGUACUGCAGCUUUAAUUUGUAGUCACUUCCUGUUAUUUGCACGAGGCACUUCCUGUUUCAACCAUGCCUGUUACAAGCCAUAUACAAAUGUGCUCCUCCAGAGAUUCAGCUGUUUUAACCUUGGAGUGGAACCAACAUUUUACAAAUAAUCAAAGUACCAGAAGAUUUCAGUAAAUUCAUCAGUUAACCUGGAA